AGGGAGAAGCCUUCGGGCUGAAACCGGCGCACGGGUGCGUAACGCGUAUACAAUCUGCCUUUCACAUAGGGAUAGCCCGAAGAAAUUUGGAUUAAUACCUAAUGGUAUAUAGGAGCGGCAUCGUUUUUAUAUUAAAGCUACGGUGGUGAAAGAUGAGUAUGCGUUCUAUUAGCUAGUUGGAGAGGUAACGGCUCCCCAAGGCGACGAUAGAUAGGGGUUCUGAGAGGGAUGUCCCCCACACUGGUACUGAGAUACGGACCAGACUCCUACGGGAGGCAGCAGUGAGGAAUAUUGGACAAUGGUCGGAAGACUGAUCCAGCCAUGCCGCGUGCAGGAUGAAGGUCCUAUGGAUUGUAAACUGCUUUUGUAAGGGAAGAAUAAGGGGUACGUGUACUUUGAUGACGGUACCUUACGAAUAAGCAUCGGCUAACUCCGUGCCAGCAGCCGCGGUAAUACGGAGGAUGCGAGCGUUAUCCGGAAUCAUUGGGUUUAAAGGGUCCGUAGGCGGGCUAAUAAGUCAGAGGUGAAAGCGUUCAGCUCAACUGAGCAACUGCCUUUGAAACUGUUAGUCUUGAAUGAUUGUGAAGUAGUUGGAAUGUGUAGUGUAGCGGUGAAAUGCUUAGAUAUUACACAGAACACCGAUAGCGAAGGCAUAUUACUAACAAUUUAUUGACGCUGAUGGACGAAAGCGUGGGGAGCGAACAGGAUUAGAUACCCUGGUAGUCCACGCUGUAAACGAUGGAUACUAGCUGUUUGGAGCGAUCUGAGUGGCUAAGCGAAAGUGAUAGUAUCCCACCUGGGGAGUACGCA
rnacentral:rRNA from 1 species